GAUGAACGCUGGCGGCGUGCCUAAUACAUGCAAGUCGAGCGAACAGACGAGGAGCUUGCUCCUCUGACGUUAGCGGCGGACGGGUGAGUAACACGUGGAUAACCUACCUAUAAGACUGGGAUAACUUCGGGAAACCGGAGCUAAUACCGGAUAAUAUAUUGAACCGCAUGGUUCAAUAGUGAAAGACGGUUUUGCUGUCACUUAUAGAUGGAUCCGCGCCGCAUUGCUAGUUGGUAAGGUAACGGCUUACCAAGGCGACGAUGCGUAGCCGACCUGAGAGGGUGAUCGGCCACACUGGAACUGAGACACGGUCCAGACUCCUACGGGAGGCAGCAGUAGGGAAUCUUCCGCAAUGGGCGAAAGCCUGACGGAGCAACGCCGCGUGAGUGAUGAAGGUCUUCGGAUCGUAAAACUCUGUUAUUAGGGAAGAACAAAUGUGUAAGUAACUAUGCACGUCUUGACGGUACCUAAUCAGAAAGCCACGGCUAACUACGUG
rnacentral:rRNA from 1 species